AAGAGAAAAUGGAUAUAAGUGUUGUCUAAACACUAUUAAUCCAUCUCUGACUCUUAUAACUAGUCAAAUGCAUUGGAUUGUGACACGUUUUUACCAUAAAAACACUAAUAAAGCUAUUUACUGCUUCUAAACAAUUUCUUUAUUGGUUUUAGCCUCUUUUAAGC
rnacentral:sRNA from 1 species